GAUGAACGCUGGCGGCGUGCCUAACACAUGCAAGUCGAGCGAACAGACGAGGAGCUUGCUCCUCUGACGUUAGCGGCGGACGGGUGAGUAACACGUGGAUAACCUACCUAUAAGACUGGGAUAACUUCGGGAAACCGGAUCUAACACCGGAUAAUAUAUUGAACCGCAUGGUUCAUUAGUGAAAGACGGUUUUGCUGUCACUUAUAGAUGGAUCCGCGCCGCAUUAGCUAGUUGGUAGGGUAACGGCUUACCAAGGCGACGAUGCGUAGCCGACCUGAGAGGAUGAUCGGCCACACUGGAACUGAGACACGGUCCAGACUCCUACGGGAGGCAGCAGUAGGGAAUCUUCCGCAAUGGGCGAAAGCCUGACGCAGCAACGCCGCGUGAGUGAUGAAGGUCUUCGGACCGUAAAGCUCUGUUAUUAGGGAGGAACAAAUGUGUAAGUAAAUAUGCACGUCUUGACGGUACCUACUCAGAAAGCCCCGGCUAACUACGUG
rnacentral:rRNA from 1 species